CCUACGGGAGGCAGCAGUGAGGAAUAUUGGUCAAUGGACGAGAGUCUGAACCAGCCAAGUAGCGUGAAGGAUGACUGCCCUAUGGGUUGUAAACUUCUUUUAUAAAGGAAUAAAACGAGGCUAGUGUGCCUUUUUGCAUGUACUUUAUGCAUAAGGAUCGGCUAACUCCGUGCCAGCAGCCGCGGUAAUACGGAGGAUCCGAGCGUUAUCCGGAUUUGUUGGGUUUAAAGGGAGCGUAGAUGGGUUGUUAAGUCAGUUGUGAAAGUUUGCGGCUCAACCGUAAAAUUGCAAUUGAUACUGGCAGUCUUGAGUACAGAUGAGGUAGGCGGAAUUCGUGGUGUAGCGGUGAAAUGCUUAGAUAUCACGAAGAACCCCGAUUGCGAAGGCAGCUUACUAAACUGUGACUGACAUUGAUGCUCGAAAGUGUGGGUAUCAAACAGGAUUAGAUACCCGAGUAGUC
rnacentral:rRNA from 1 species